rnacentral:lncRNA from 1 species
CACCACAUGCUACCAGCAGCCGCACCACCCACCAGCAGCCCCGACUUCAGCUCAGCUCACCCCCGACCAUCUAGCAACUGUAGCUCCACAGGUCAUCCAUCCAUAGAACCAAACCAGCUAUGGCCGUGAGCCCCCUUGCAGUUUUCAGCCACCGUUUGAGCUCCGUUAGAAACACGGUUGUUCGGAAUCUUCACUGCCAUCACGUUGCCAUCGCCGUGAGCCCGCUGCCAUUGAAUUUGGGUGAGUUAACUCCCUAAUCCUUGAUUAGAUUGUUAAUUACACUUUGCGGGUUAUAUUAGUGCUAAUUAGUUUAGUUAAAUUAGUAUUAAGUGAGAUUAACCUUAAUAUGGAUUAGUGUUAAUAUAGUUUGGUUAGAUUAGCCUUAAGAUGUAUUAGUAUUGAUCUAGUUGGUUGGAUUAGUAGUAAUGAGGGUGAUUUAGCUUGGUUUAGUGAAUUUCUCCCGGAUCAGUUUGCUGGAUGCUUGCCGCUUGCCAUUUUUGUGGGGAAAAUGUGCUAUGAUUUUGAGGUUACAUCCUUCUUGAAAAAUGUUGUAGACAUAUUCAGCUAUGACAUAUAUUUCAGUCAAGAUUUUAGGGAUAUAAAAGAAUGAGAUUUCAAUUUCGUUAUUUGCAAAACAAAAUCUCGGAUUAUGCUGGAAACAACGACAUUUUGGUGCUCAAAAGAUUUUUAUCAAUUCUUAGGGUUCGAUUUUCGAAAGAUUUUUUUCAUAAAAGUUGUUCAUUACAUCUUGUAGUUUAAUAUAGUCAAAUUUCAUAUCAAACAGACGAGUUUUCGACCUCAAACUAAACUGAUUUUGGAAAACGUAAUUUGUAGACAUGGACAUAGUUUUUGUAACGGUUUGAGAGAUUUACUGCUCUCAUUCUAGAAGGAUUUGGGUUAUGGUGUCUCAUAAAAAGUGUUUGAUUAAGUGUCCUUUAGAACAUAUUAAAAUUUGAGAGUUUUCUAAGCUUGUUUGAUUAUGUUUCUGGAAUUAAACUUGGAAGUGUAUGAGUGGCUUGGUUUCUGCCGAUUAGGACCGGUAGUGGUUUUGUGAUUGUUCUUGAUGUAGUGCUUGCUGGACAAUGCAUAUUUGGUGGUGUGGUUGACUUUUGGCAUGCUUUAGAACUUAUGUGUGAUGAUAUGUGAAUGGUUGUUUUACGGUGGUUAUUUAUUGUUAUUGUAAAAAAAUGACCUUAUGAGCCUUUAAUUAGAAAAACAAUGAGGUGUCAAGUUGGACACCAAAACUUAUUUGCUCAAUAAAACAAUGAGGUUUUAAACUAGGCAUGUGCAGAGUUUGACGGAUUAAUUUUGAGUACAUGAGCGUCUAUGACUUUAUUUCUAAAAGUUUUGAACAAAAAAAAGGGGUUACUAAAGAUUGUUUUCAAAAGGGAUGGUUGGGCAAGAAAAUUGAAAAACAAAUGAGGUGUCAGGUUGGACACGAGGUUUUAUUCGGUCAAUAAAACGAUGAGGUUUUAUACUAGAUGCGUGCAAAGUUUGGUGGGUAAAUUUCAAAUACGUGACCCUGUAUAAAUUUAUUUCGGAAAGUUUGAACAAAAAAAAAGGGUUGCUAAGUUGAUUUUUUUAAAAAGGGGUUUUGGUGUUCAUGGCUACAUAAUGGAGGAUAAAGUUGACUUGUUUGAUGAUGUGCCUACAUGGUUAAGUUAGUUAAGUAGUUCAGUUUACUUAAAUGCGAUUUAUUUAAUUGAUCGCAAUUAGUGACAUUAGUGACGGAUUAGCCAUUUCAUGAAAUUUUAUGCUAAUUUUUGUCGUUGAAUUUAUAUGUGAAAUCGAUUGCUUAUAAGUGCAAUUGAGUUCUUGGUGGUGAUUUUUGGAUAUUAUUGCAAAACCUGAUUUUAUGGUAUUUAAAUAGAAAAAUAUCGGGUGUUGGUUUUUGACGCCAAAAUUUAAGUACUAUAUAAAAUUGUAGAGUUUUGAACUGGGAGCGUACCAAAUUUGAUGGUUUGAUAUAAAUGCAUGACCACGCACGAUUAUUUUACUGGGAAUUUUUAAUACAAAGAAAAGUGGCUAAGUUCAUUAUUUGAAAUUGAGGAAUUUGAGUGCAAAGCACGAUGUUCUUAGCCGAGUAUGGAUGUGUAUGUGGUCACUAUCGGAACCCAUCUUGAUGCGUACAAAUAUGCGGGGCGAUGCUUGAUUAUGUUCGGAUGCCCCAAGUCAACGGAUAUCGAUCGCAGUGAAGGUUGGGCCGAUGCUCCUAUGUGGAAUGCCGUCCUGAUGUGUAUGAAUAUGCGGAUCAUGUUGUGACAUCCUAAAUUUUCAGUACUGUUUUGAACUGAAUAAAUCGGGACUUUCAUCAACGUGUCUAUAGUGCUAUUCUCAGAGCCAAUCACUCGUGAGAUAACUAGACUAUCUGGGGAAGUCAUUGAGAGAUUUUAA